ensembl:lncRNA
GGAAUAUUUGCAAAAUCAUGACUACCUCAUGAUAUUUUCUCAAAAAUUAACCCUAUGAAUAUGUCAGUGCCACUAGGAUGAAAUUAUUGUGUCACCAACAUUUUAACGUUAGAUGUAUAAUUUUAACAGCCUCUUUAAACUAAUAUCCUGGCUUGCUCGAGGCUGCCGUUUUUUCUGACAGUUUCAAUCAAAAUUAGAAAUGUUGCUCUGAGACUGGGAGAACUAAUAGAGCUGCCUGUUGUGCAGUUAGUUUCCAAAACACGUUAUUCAUGGUUACAUACAAUUUUAGACUGAUGUGGGCCAAAGCCUAGCAGAGCUUGUAACGUUAUUGUGACGGACACAUUUUAUGAGUGAGCUUGGCUUUAAUUGACUAACAGGUUUCUUUGAAAAAUACUUUCUUAUAUGCACGUUCUUCCUCUUUGCUACCGUCCUCGUCUCAGCGCAGGUUUGCCGCUGCUGAAACUAAACAGAGCUCCCUGAAAGGCUCAGCCAAUCACAUUGGCCAUAUUUGUCACAUGAGGUCGGACUCCAAGUGGGAACGUAAUUUAACUCUUUCUGCACUGCUGGGUGACUGAGACGCUGACAGAUCUUUUUUUUUCUUUCUAUCGGAUUUGUUGUUUGUUUUUUUUACAAGAAGCGAUCAAAUUAUUGGUGGGGACAUGUCCCCUCCGUCCAUGCCAAAUCGACGCCCUUGCUUACAUUAAUAUAUAAUGUAAAACUAACACAAUGAUUUUAAAGGCCCAUCAGGUCCGAAAACCCAUAGUGGGCAAAAUGACAUGUUACAGCGAGGAUAGAAGCCUCUCACAUGGACACAUGGACCUCAUAAAGAGGCACAAACUGCUUGAGCAGGGUGUCUGCUGAUCUACAGCCAGGCUGAGAGAUGGUUUAUUCAUUUUUCUUUGCUCUUAGGUCAAUAAAUACUUGCAACAGUACACACACAGCAGGUGAAAAGCAGAGUUUAUGCACACAGUGUACUGCUCUCUUCAACAGGAGCAAAAGGAUGACAAACCCUGUUUCAGGAAUGAGCUGUGUCCCUGCUGACCUGUACCUGAGGCAUCUUAAGAGCGACAGAAUGCUGCCGCUCAGAUUUCCUCAAAAGUUUUAAGGUAACCCUGCACACCAUAAUGAAAUAUGCUGCUAAAAGCUCUUUGAGAAUCACCAUCUUGGUGGGUCUUGAUGCAUUCUCAAUCAUCCAG